rnacentral:tRNA from 1 species
ACCCCGGUAGCUCACCUGGACAGAGCGCAAGAUUCCUAAUCUUGAGGUAGGAGGUUCGAGUCCUCUCCGGGGUACCA